AGUCGGCCUGCGCGGAAGAUGUAACGGGGCUAAGUAGUAAACCGAAGCUGCGGCAAUGUGCUUUUGCACAUUGGGUAGGGGAGCGUUCUGUAAGCGGUUGAAGGUGUGUGGUAACGCAUGCUGGACGUAUCAGAAGUGCGAAUGCUGACAUGAGUAACGAUAAAGGGGGUGAAAAACCUCCUCGCCGGAAGACCAAGGGUUCCUGUCCAACGUUAAUCGGGGCAGGGUAAGUCGACCCCUAAGGCGAGGCCGAAAGGCGUAGUCGAUGGGAAACGGGUUAAUAUUCCCGGCUCUUUUUAAGGCUGAGACACGACGUCGAGCACCUACGGGUGUGAAGUCAUUGAUGCCAUGCUUCCAGGAAAAGCCUCUAAGCUUCAGAUUGUAAGGAAUCGUACCCCAAACCGACACAGGUGGUCGGGUAGAGAAUACCAAGGCGCUUGAGAGAACUCGGGUGAAGGAACUAGGCAAAAUGGUACCGUAACUUCGGGAGAAGGUACGCUCUUGAUGGUGAAGUCCCUUGCGGAUGGAGCUGACGAGAGUCGCAGAUACCAGGUGGCUGCAACUGUUUAUUAAAAACACAGCACUGUGCAAAAUCGUAAGAUGACGUAUACGGUGUGACGCCUGCCCGGUGCCGGAAGGUUAAUUGAUGGGGUUAGACUUCGGUCGAAGCUCUUGAUCGAAGCCCCGGUAAACGGCGGCCGUAACUAUAACGGUCCUAAGGUAGCGAAAUUCCUUGUCGGGUAAGUUCCGACCUGCACGAAUGGCGUAAUGAUGGCCACGCUGUCUCCACCCGAGACUCAGUGAAAUUGAAAUCGCUGUGAAGAUGCAGUGUACCCGCGGCUAGACGGAAAGACCCCGUGAACCUUUACUACAGCUUGGCACUGAACAUUGACCCUACAUGUGUAGGAUAGGUGGGAGGCUUUGAAGCACGUACGCCAGUAUGUGUGGAGCCGUCCUUGAAAUACCACCCUUGUAGUGUUGAUGUUCUAACGUCGACCCCUUAUCGGGGUUGCGGACAGUGCCUGGUGGGUAGUUUGACUGGGGCGGUCUCCUCCCAAAGAGUAACGGAGGAGCACGAAGGUGGGCUAAUCACGGUUGGACAUCGUGAGGUUAGUGCAAUGGCAUAAGCCCGCUUGACUGCGAGAAUGACAAUUCGAGCAGGUGCGAAAGCAGGUCAUAGUGAUCCGGUGGUUCUGAAUGGAAGGGCCAUCGCUCAACGGAUAAAAGGUACUCCGGGGAUAACAGGCUGAUACCGCCCAAGAGUUCAUAUCGACGGCGGUGUUUGGCACCUCGAUGUCGGCUCAUCACAUCCUGGGGCUGAAGUCGGUCCCAAGGGUAUGGCUGUUCGCCAUUUAAAGUGGUACGCGAGCUGGGUUUAGAACGUCGUGAGACAGUUCGGUCCCUAUCUGCCGUGGGCGUUGGAAGAUUGAAGGGGGCUGCUCCUAGUACGAGAGGACCGGAGUGGACGAACCUCUGGUGUUCGGGUUGUGUCGCCAGACGCAUUGCCCGGUAGCUAAGUUCGGAAUCGAUAACCGCUGAAAGCAUCUAAGCGGGAAGCGAGCCCUGAGAUGAGUCUUCCCUGAUACUUUAAGUAUCCUAAAGGGUUGUCGGAGACUACGACGUUGAUAGGUCAGGUGUGUAAGUGCUGUGAGGCAUUGAGCUAACUGAUACUAAUUGCCCGUGAGGCUUAACCAUACAACACCCAAGGGGUUU
rnacentral:rRNA from 1 species